rnacentral:rRNA from 1 species
UGAGGAAUAUUGGGCAAUGCCCGAAAGGGUGACCCAGCAACGCCGCGUGGAGGAUGAGGGUCGUAAGAUUGUAAACUCCUGUUAGAGGGGAAGAAUAACUAAGUUUGGAGCUUAGUAUGACUGUACCCUCAGAGAAAGCCCCGGUUAACUACGUGCCAGCAGCCGCGGUAAUACGUGGGGGGCAAGCGUUGUCCGGAUUUACUGGGUGUAAAGGGCGCGCAGGCGGAAUGGAAAGUCAGUGGUGAAAUCCUACAGCUUAACUGUAGAACUGCCUUUGAUACUUUCAUUCUUGAGUUCGGGAGAGAGAGACGGAAUUCCAGGUGUAGUGGUGAAAUACGUAGAUAUCUGGAAGAACACCAGUUGCGAAGGCGGUCUCUUGGUCCGAUACUGACGCUGAGGCGCGAAAGCGUGGGGAGCAAACA